GACGAACGCUGGCGGCGUGCUUAACACAUGCAAGUUGAACGGAAAGGCCCUGCUUUUGUGGGGUGCUCGAGUGGCGAACGGGUGAGUAACACGUGAGUAACCUGCCCUUGACUUUGGGAUAACUUCAGGAAACUGGGGCUAAUACCGGAUAGGAGCUCCUGCUGCAUGGUGGGGGUUGGAAAGUUUCGGCGGUUGGGGAUGGACUCGCGGCUUAUCAGCUUGUUGGUGGGGUAGUGGCUUACCAAGGCUUUGACGGGUAGCCGGCCUGAGAGGGUGACCGGCCACAUUGGGACUGAGAUACGGCCCAGACUCCUACGGGAGGCAGCAGUGGGGAAUAUUGCGCAAUGGGCGGAAGCCUGAUGCAGCAACGCCGCGUGCGGGAUGACGGCCUUCGGGUUGUAAACCGCUUUCGCCUGUGACGAAGCGUGAGUGACGGUAAUGGGUAAAGAAGCACCGGCUAACUACGUG
rnacentral:rRNA from 1 species